rnacentral:lncRNA from 1 species
AAAGACGACAAUACCGUUUAUCUUAAGAAAACAGACAUUAUUCAGCACAGGCUCUUCCAUAGAAUGAACUUGCAUGUAUUUUUAUUCAUGUUGACUUUUAUUUUAAGUCAAUUCUUAUCUUACUGAGAGCAACAGGGAAUCACAUAUGUUAUCAGAGGUGAAGUCUGUAAUGUGGCCACCCAUAAUAGAAGCUGAUGAGAGGUGAGGAGAGAAGAAAGAGACCAAACCUCACCCAUGUCUGGGACAUUGGCAACUAUAUCAGAGUAACUCUUCAGCAGUACCCUGGAGAACCACCAAAACCAUGAUUUGGGAGCAUGUGGGCUCAAGGUUUGUAGAAACCACUGAAAGCCAGAAAUGGGCCAACACUGACAACCAAAGAGAUUAGAUAGCCAUUUGCCAGGGAAAGUUACACAUGGAAACACAUGGAAGUACUCCUUCUCCCUUCUCUGUCCCAACCCAAACAAGAAACAGGGAAGGAGGAAGAAAUGUGAGAAAGCAGGGUACUCUGCACCAUCUCCCUACUCCUUGAUUACCACUCACCCUCACCAUUACCCACUGCCCCCAAAACACAGAGACCCACUAGGACAUCAGUCUAGCCUCUACCAAGGGAAGGGGAAGAUCUCUGAAUCUAACAUGAGGUUGAAACUUAAGAACAUAAAAACAAUUUCUUAGCAAUAAAAUCAAUACAUUUUAACUGAAAAGCUACAGGAUCUCCGGCUGUGACUAAGGGGGCGAGCACACUACCCAGGGAGUGUUUAAUAAAAAGAUAUCAUUUAUAUCUUCAGUAUUUCAGACUCUUCUACCAAACUAAUUUUGUUAAUUUCCAUUGUCACAUACUUUCCAAAUAUAAUCCUUCCCCCAGUUUUUUACCUGCAACCAAGUAUGCCUUUUGCUCCUUCUGCUUAGUCAUUCUAUUCCUAGCCAGUUCCACUGAGACCCACUAGUAAUAGACACAUGGUUCAUAUUUGGAUUUGACCGAUGUGUAUUGAUAUUGGCUGCACUGGGUAUUAAAAUGUUCAAGUACCUCGUAUAAAUAUAGUUGGUAAAGAGGCACUGGCUUAAAUCCCCUUUCUCCCACUGCCACUGCAGACUUGGCCUCCCCUCCAGGAAUUUCCAAAUCUUAAAGAAAAAAGGGUUAAAAUGAUAGUAUAGUACUACAGGGAAGUCUCUUGGUCCCUGCUCCAUUAAGGGGACCUCUAUUUGAGUGCCACUGAUGAUAUAUUUUACAUUUUGAAUAUAAACAGUCUUAAAUACAAAGAAAAUGAGGUAGGUAUCUUCAAACAAGUAUCUCUCUCAAAUGGUCAAUUAUUACCUUGCCAGUGGACACCUCUAUUGGCAAACAUGCCUAGUCUUUCUAGACUUUCAGAUAUUGCUUCAUUUUCUUAUCCUCUGAUGUUGUACAUUUGCUUAUGUUAAACUCCCUUCGUUGACUGCUUUACUGAUCUGCCACAUUUUAUCACCAGACUUCCCAGAUAAUGGAGUUGCUCUCUGAACUAAGUUUAUAGUGUCUUGAGAAAGAUCUCCUUAAAAAAUAUCUACCAUAUUUCUGUCUGUAAUUCCAGACUGAGUUCCUAAUUGUAUAUACCUCCUGUCUCCCUGUAUCUGCCACACAACAAUACAUAAAUCCAUUUUUUUCCACCAAAGAAAAUUCAUCAAUCUUAUCUAAAUUACUCAAAUGCUGGUAGUACUGAAGAUCUAUGGUGAUAAAAUCAUAUAGUUUAAUGUAAAAUUUUGAAUUCAGGGAAAGGAAGAGCCUUUCUUUAUUAGCAUACAGUAAAAAUUUUUGAGGGUAAGGGAGCAAUCUAUGUUUCAGGGAAACACAAGGGCUUGAAGUUUGUUGUCCUCCAAGAUCUGCUCCAGUAUCUUUGACUCACAUUCUUAUUAUCUUUACUUAUAUACUUGAUAUUUUCCCAGGGCUUCAGACUUAAAUGUACAACUACUUUUUAUUUCUCUGUGUGGACUGCUAGAUAAUACCUCUUCAUUUGCUCCACCAUUUCUACUCAGCCAUUAUACAUAUUCCUCAAUCAUAAGAGCUCUUAAACCUCAACAAUUAGAAAAUAGCAAUCUAAUUAUGAACCAGAAAAACUACGAAUAGAUAUUUCAUUGAGAAGAUGCACAGAUGCCAUAUAAGCACAUGAAAAGAUGUUCAAAAUCAUUAGCCGUUAGAGAAAUAAAAAUUAAUACUAUAGUGAGAUUUGACUAUAUACCUACUAGAAUGGCUAAAAUAAAAAACAAUGACAACAGCAAGUGUUGGCAGGGAUGCAGACAAGAAAGGUACAUGUCACUUUGAAACUCUACUCAUGGAGUUCCCACUGUGGCGCAGUGGUUAACAAAUCUGACUAGGAACCAUGAGGUUGCAGGUUUGAUCCCUGGCCUUGCUCAGUGGGUUAAGGAUCCGGUGUUGCCGUGAGCUGUGGUGUAGGUUGCAGACGCGACUCACAUCCUGCAUUGCUGCGGCUCUGGUGUAGGCCGGUGGCUACAGCUCUGAUUGGACCCCUAGCCUGGGAACCUCCAUAUGCUGCGGGAGCAGACCUAAAAGACAAAAGGAAAAAAAAAAAGAAACCUCUACUCUUGGUUUGUACGCUGCCACCAUGUUUUGAGCUUCUCUUGUUUUGUGCUCACAUGAAUUCUUUGUGAAGGGUAUAGUUCUCUUCUUUUAAGACCACCAAUGCUAUCAAGGUCAAGAACUCACCCUAUAUCAUAAACUCAUUUGUCUCCUAAAACCCUUAUUUCUAAAUUUGAGGACACGAUUCACUCCAUAGAAAUUAGUUUCCUCUGCUAUAUAACAAAUUACCACAAAUUUAGCAGCUUAAAACGCAUAUUUAUUAUUUUUUGGUUUCUGUGCACAGCUUCAUGAAUGAUUUGGCUUGGUGCUUUUCACGUCUGCAAUCCAGAGGUCAGGUGAGGCUGGGUUCUUAUCAAGCAGCUCCACUGUCAACAUAUCUACUUUCAACUUGUAUGAAAAAAUCAUGCCAGUGUUGUCCUUUACUCUCACUCACAAUACUUCUAACAUCAUAUGUGUGUAUUUUUCACAUUAAGCAUUUAUCAGAUAACAACUGCGGAUUCUACAAUCCAAUCCAUUUCUGAAAGUAACCAGAGUUAGCUUAGCAAAGAUCCCACGGUUUAAGGGCUCAGUUCCAGGACUGUCCGCAUCACUCACACAUGCACAAUUUAGAUGCCAAUCUCAAGUCCAAGUUGUUAUCUGUGCUUCCAAUCAAGUGGCUAUAAAUCAGAGCUCCCCAUGACCUACAUCCUCAGGUUUGAUUAAUUUGCAAGUGUGGCUCACAGAACUCAGUUUACUUACUAGAUUACUGGCUUAUUACAAGUAUAUUAAAGGCAUGUGGAUGUAUUCACCAGCCCAUAAGCUCUCCAAACCCCUUAUUUGGGGGAUUUUUUUGAGACUUCAUCAUAUAGGUAUAUCCAUCACACUCAGUCUCUAGCCCCUUUAAAAAGUGGGAGGAGGGACAGGAAGCUCUAAACUUCUCAUCAUGGCUUGGUCUUUUCGGUGAACAGCCCCCAUCAUUAAGCGAUCUAGGAGUCUAUCAAUAGUCAUGUCACUAGAAUACAAAACAUUCCUGUCUCCCAGCAUAUUUCAAAGGGUUUUUGAAACUCUGCAUCAGUAACUGGGUCAAAG